rnacentral:rRNA from 1 species
AGUGAACGCUGGCGGUAGGCCUAACACAUGCAAGUCGAACGGCAGCACAGUAAGAGCUUGCUCUUACGGGUGGCGAGUGGCGGACGGGUGAGGAAUACAUCGGAAUCUACUCUUUCGUGGGGGAUAACGUAGGGAAAGUUACGCUAAUACCGCAUACGACCUACGGGUGAAAGCAGGGGAUCUUCGCACCUUGCGCGAUUGAACGAGCCGAUGUCGGAUUAGCUAGUUGGCGGGGUAAAGGCCCACCAAGGCGACGAUACGUAGCUGGUCUGAGAGGAUGAUCGGCCACAUGGGAAGUGGGACACGGACCAGGGGACUAAGGGAGGCAGCAGUGGGGAAUGUUGGGCAAUAGGCGCAAGUCUGGUCCGACGAGACCGCGUCGGAGACGAAGGCGUUCGGGUUGUAAAGCCGGUUUGUUGGGUAAGAAAAGCAUCAGGUUAAGACCCCGCUGUUCUGACGGUAACCAAAGAAUAAGCACCGGCUAACUUCGUG